UACAGAGGUCUCGAGCGUUAGGCGGAAUCACUGGGCUUAAAGCGUGUGUAGGUGGAUCGUUAAGUACCUUGUGAAAUCCCACGGCUUAACCGUGGAACUGCUUGGUAUACUGGCGGUCUUGAGCCACUUAGGGGCUACCGGAACAAAUGGUGGAGCGGUGAAAUGCGUAGAGAUCGGAAAGAACACCAACGGCGAAAGCACUCUGCUGGGCCGACACUGACACUGAGAGACGAAAGCUAGGGGGGCGAAUGGG
rnacentral:rRNA from 1 species